GAUGCUUUGGUGCCUUCGGGAACUCUGAGACAGGUGCUGCAUGGCUGUCGUCAGCUCGUGUUGUGAAAUGUUGGGUUAAGUCCCGCAACGAGCGCAACCCUUAUCCUUUGUUGCCAGCGGCUCGGCCGGGAACUCAAAGGAGACUGCCGGUGAUAAACCGGAGGAAGGUGGGGAUGACGUCAAGUCAUCAUGGCCCUUACGGCCAGGGCUACACACGUGCUACAAUGGCGCAUACAAAGAGAAGCGACCUCGCGAGAGCAAGCGGACCUCAUAAAGUGCGUCGUAGUCCGGAUUGGAGUCUGCAACUCGACUCCAUGAAGUCGGAAUCGCUAGUAAUCGUAGAUCAGAAUGCUACGGUGAAUACGUUCCCGGGCCUUGUACACACCGCCCGUCACACCAUGGGAGUGGGUUGCAAAAGAAGUAGGUAGCUUAACCUUCGGGAGGGCGCUUACCACUUUGUGAUUCAUGACUGGGGUGAAGUCGUAACAAGGUAAGCGUAGCGAG
rnacentral:rRNA from 1 species